rnacentral:rRNA from 1 species
GACGAACGCUGGCGGCGUGCCUAAUACAUGCAAGUAGAACGCUGAAGGAGGAGCUUGCUUCUCUGGAUGAGUUGCGAACGGGUGAGUAACGCGUAGGUAACCUGCCUGGUAGCGGGGGAUAACUAUUGGAAACGAUAGCUAAUACCGCAUAAGAGUGGAUGUUGCAUGACAUUUGCUUAAAAGGUGCACUUGCAUCACUACCAGAUGGACCUGCGUUGUAUUAGCUAGUUGGUGGGGUAACGGCUCACCAAGGCGACGAUACAUAGCCGACCUGAGAGGGUGAUCGGCCACACUGGGACUGAGACACGGCCCAGACUCCUACGGGAGGCAGCAGUAGGGAAUCUUCGGCAAUGGACGGAAGUCUGACCGAGCAACGCCGCGUGAGUGAAGAAGGUUUUCGGAUCGUAAAGCUCUGUUGUAAGAGAAGAACGAG